rnacentral:rRNA from 1 species
UACGUAGGGGGCUAGCGUUGUCCGGAAUCAUUGGGCGUAAAGCGCGUGUAGGCGGCCCGGUAAGUCCGCUGUGAAAGUCGGGGGCUCAACCCUCGGAUGCCGGUGGAUACUGUCGGGCUUGAGUACGGAAGAGGCGAGUGGAAUUCCUGGUGUAGCGGUGAAAUGCGCAGAUAUCAGGAGGAACACCAAUGGCGAAGGCAGCUCGCUGGGACGGUUACUGACGCUGAGACGCGAAAGCGUGGGAGCAAACAGG